CCUACGGGAGGCAGCAGUGAGGAAUAUUGGUCAAUGGACGAGAGUCUGAACCAGCCAAGUAGCGUGAAGGAUGACUGCCCUAUGGGUUGUAAACUUCUUUUAUAUGGGAAUAAAAUGUUCCACGUGUGGGAUUUUGUAUGUACCAUAUGAAUAAGGAUCGGCUAACUCCGUGCCAGCAGCCGCGGUAAUACGGAGGAUCCGAGUGUUAUCCGGAUUUAUUGGGUUUAAAGGGGCGUAGGUGGAUUGUUAAGUCAGUUGUGAAAGUUUGCGGCUCAACCGUAAAAUUGCAGUUGAAACUGGCAGUCUUGAGUACAGUAGAGGUGGGCGGAAUUCGUGGUGUAGCGGUGAAAUGCUUAGAUAUCACGAAGAACUCCGAUUGCGAAGGCAGUUCACUGGACUGCAACUGACACUGAGGCUCGAAAGUGUGGGUAUCAAACAGGAUUAGAUACCCGAGUAGUC
rnacentral:rRNA from 1 species